rnacentral:rRNA from 1 species
UGGGGAAUUUUCCGCAAUGGGCGCAAGCCUGACGGAGCAAGACCGCGUGAGGGAGGAAGGCCCUUGGGUUGUAAACCUCUUUUCUCAGGGAAGAAGCAAGUGACGGUACCUGAGGAAUCAGCCUCGGCUAACUCCGUGCCAGCAGCCGCGGUAAUACGGAGGGGACUAGCGUUGUUCGGAAUUACUGGGCGUAAAGCGCGCGUAGGCGGACUAUUAAGUCAGGGGUGAAAUCCCGGGGCUCAACCCCGGAACUGCCCUUGAUACUGGUAGUCUUGAGUUCGAGAGAGGUGAGUGGAAUUCCGAGUGUAGAGGUGAAAUUCGUAGAUAUUCGGAGGAACACCAGUGGCGAAGGCGGCUCACUGGCUCGAUACUGACGCUGAGGUGCGAAAGCGUGGGGAGCAAACAGGAUUAGAUACCCGCGUA